rnacentral:lncRNA from 1 species
AAAUAUGCGGUGAAAAAGAUCUACUUUAUAAUCCCAUUCAACUGUGGAUUGAACUGAAGAGUCAAGGAGUCCAAAGUGGUCAGCCUGAAAAUUCUGAGAAGAUACAACUGUGCAAGCAGAAAUCUGAUGAAGGGAGAUGGAGUGGGAGGUGAAAUGCCCUGUUUUCUUUAGACGCUGACUCCUGCUGUCUACCAGAUCCUCGUGGUACAAUGACUGGUGUAGACUGGCUUGUUGAAGUCACUCUCUGGAUCUGAGCAACGCUGGCUGAGCCGUGAUGAAGUAUUCCUAUCCAUCCACUAUGCUUCACAGUGGGAAUCUCUCACUGUUCAUCACCGCUGCCCUAGCAGCCGCAGGGAUUCUUCACCCAUGGUUGCUUAGGUUUAUAAGCAAGGAAGCUGAAUGAAGUCCCUUUCCUCUCUGGAUGAGCCCCUGGGUUUCUGGAAGAGUCUUAAAAUCACCCCUAAAUGGCUUCCAAGCACUGAAGCCCGAGAUGUUAGCUGGCCUGUGUGAGGCCUUGAGACAGAAUGCCACAGCCACACCCCAAGGAUGCUGAAGGGGAUUUCCCUCCUCUGUGGUUUUUCUCCUUUCUUCCCGCAGCACUCCUCCUACGUGCUAACAUCUUCUAGUCAAACAACUCUCCUUUUCAAAGGGACCAGGCACAGUUUCUGCUUAUCCCUGAGUAGCAGUGUUCAGUUUCCUGCCAGCCUGUGGAGUUUUUCAAACAAGCCAAUCACCUCCUCCUGUGGGAACUGAGAAGCACCCCACCCUCUCGAUACUACAAAGCCCCUGCUUGUUCCCUAGUGCAACUCCCAUGUGGUCCUGUGGAGCAUAUGGUAUCUUCCUCUUCUGGGCAGUGAGCAUAUGUGACUAAUAAACUAUCUAUCUCA